rnacentral:rRNA from 1 species
UUGACCUCGGAUCAGGUAGGAAACCCGCUGAACUUAAGCAU